rnacentral:lncRNA from 1 species
GGGAAAGUGGGGAUCCUGGGCCAACUUACCAUUAAGAGGGUCCAGUCCUGUGACUGCUGUGAAGUAACCAGGAUUCCACAUAGAGAUGGGACUCAAAGUCAGCCCAGGAGCAGCACUGUGGUCCCAGGCCUGCUGUGGCAUCCCAGUGACAUCCAGGAAAGGCCCCCCCUUCAUCUUGACACCAAAUGUAAGCAUCCAAGUGAAAAAAAGAACAGCAAAAAAAGUAACGUAAUCAUUAUGUGGGUGCGGUGGCUCACACCCAUAAUCCCAGCACUUUGGGAGGCCGAGGCAAGAAGAUCGCUUGAGCCCAGGAGUUCGAGACCAGCCCGGGCAACAUGGCAAAACCUGAUCUCCGCCAAAAAUACAAAGAUUAGCUGGGCAUGGUGUUGUGAGCAUGUAAUAACAGCUACUCAGGAGGCUGAGGUAGGAGGAUCACAUGAGUCUGGGAGGUUGAGGCCGCAGUGAGCUGCGAUCAGAUUUGGUGACUGAAUGAGACCCUGCCUCAAAAAAAAAAAAAAAAAAAAGGAAUGAUUAAAGUUUUUUGUUGUUGUUGUUCAUGUUACAAGUUUGUACACCAGUAACUAAAAGGGGAAAAACAAGCAAUAUUCAACACAACUAAUUAUGGGUAAAAUUUUCGUUCUUUGAUGUGGCUUUCUUGUUUUGUUUUUCAUUUUGUCCCUGAGGUGGCAACCUCAUCCUUUCAUGCUAGUGCUGGCUCUAUGAUGAACCACCAGAUUCUGGAAUUUUCC